rnacentral:tRNA from 1 species
CCCUGGGUGGCUGAGUCGGUGAAGCAUCUGACUUCGGCUCAGGUCAUGAUCUCACGGUUCGUGAGUUCGAGCCCCGCAUCAGGCU